ACAAUGGGUGGCCGGGCAGAGACGCUCCUCACUUCCUAGACAGGAUGACGGCCGGGAAGAGGCUGGAGUGCAGUGGCACCAUCUCGGCUUACCGCAACCUCCGCCUCCUGGGUUCAAACAAUACUCCUACCUUGGCCUCCUGAGUAGCUGGGAUUACAGGAAUCAAGGUUGCUAAGAGACCACCUGUGCUGAAUACACUUUGUUCUGGCAAGAGCAGAAAACUGAGAAGCCGUGUUACCUACCACUACCUGGGAUUAAUUCAGGGAGCGGGAUAAUUCUGGAUAUG
rnacentral:lncRNA from 1 species